GGGCCCGUAGCUCACCGGGAGAGCGGCCGUUUUGCACGCGGCGGGUAGGGGGUUCAAUUCCCUCCGGGUCCACCA
rnacentral:tRNA from 1 species